rnacentral:tRNA from 1 species
UGGCUGAGUGGUAAAGCGUUUGGCUUCCGAAACGAAAGGUCCUGGGUUCGAAUCCUGG